UGCAAGUCGAACGGCAGCGCGAGAGAGCUUGCUCUCUUGGCGGCGAGUGGCGGACGGGUGAGUAAUAUAUCGGAACGUGCCCAGUAGCGGGGGAUAACUACUCGAAAGAGUGGCUAAUACCGCAUACGCCCUACGGGGGAAAGGGGGGGAUCGCAAGACCUCUCACUAUUGGAGCGGCCGAUAUCGGAUUAGCUAGUUGGUGGGGUAAAGGCUCACCAAGGCAACGAUCCGUAGCUGGUUUGAGAGGACGACCAGCCACACUGGGACUGAGACACGGCCCAGACUCCUACGGGAGGCAGCAGUGGGGAAUUUUGGACAAUGGGGGAAACCCUGAUCCAGCCAUCCCGCGUGUAUGAUGAAGGCCUUCGGGUUGUAAAGUACUUUUGGCAGAGAAGAAAAGGUAUCUCCUAAUACGAGAUACUGCUGACGGUAUCUGCAGAAUAAGCACCGGCUAACUACGUGCCAGCAGCCGCGGUAAUACGUAGGGUGCAAGCGUUAAUCGGAAUUACUGGGCGUAAAGCGUGUGUAGGCGGUUCGGAAAGAAAGAUGUGAAAUCCCAGGGCUCAACCUUGGAACUGCAUUUUUAACUGCCGAGCUAGAGUAUGUCAGAGGGGGGUAGAAUUCCACGUGUAGCAGUGAAAUGCGUAGAUAUGUGGAGGAAUACCGAUGGCGAAGGCAGCCCCCUGGGAUAAUACUGACGCUCAGACACGAAAGCGUGGGGAGCAAACAGG
rnacentral:rRNA from 1 species